UCCCCCGCUGGUAAAAACGGCAUGGAUUUCCUCCGGGUAUUGGCACUUUCUGUCUCAAGUGCCCCAAGCCGAAAAGUCGGAUACAGUUAAAUCCAACCUGGGGGGAGUACGGGUCCGGCAAAGGUGGAAAAUCUUCAAAAGGGAAAUUGGACCGGGCGCCCGCACCAAGCGGGUGGAAGCCAUGUGGGUUUAAAUUUCGAUGAUACCGCGAGGAACCUUCCCAGCGCCUUAAAAUGCAGAACGACAGAGGUGGAAACACCUCCUUCUUUCGGACGGUCUGCAAGGUGCUGCAUGGUUGUCGUCAGCUCGUGCUGUGAAGUGUCGGGUUAAGUCCCAUAACGAGCGCAACCCCUAUUUCUAGUUGGCCAGCGGUUCGGCCGGGGACUCUAGAGAAACUGCCAGCGUAAGCUGUGAGGAAGGUGGGCAUGACGUCAAAUCAUCACGGCCCUUACGUCCUGGGCUACACACGUGCUACAAUGGUAGGGACAGAGAGUUGCCAACCCGCGAGGGUGAGCUAAUCUUCAAACCCUAUCUCAGUUCGGAUCGGAGUCUGCAACUCGACUCCGUGAAGUUGGAAUCGCUAGUAAUCGCAUAUCAGCCAUGAUGCGGUGAAUACGUUCCCGGGCCUUGUACACACCGCCCGUCAAGCCAUGGAAGCUGGGGGCGCCUGAAGUCGGUCACCGUAAGGAGCUGCCUAGGGCGAAACUAGUAACUGGGGCUAAGUCGUAACAAGGUAA
rnacentral:rRNA from 1 species